UAUCCUCUGAUCCCUUGAGAUAUGGGCCC
rnacentral:piRNA from 1 species